UUUGUCCCCCACGCAACUACAAGUGCUCUUAUUCUGGGUCACUUUCAAUGAUUAUUGCUGCGGGGGCAAACUGUGUCUUGGGCCUGUGAGAGUUUUUUUUUGAG
ensembl:ncRNA ZK617.12 ncRNA